rnacentral:rRNA from 1 species
UACAGGGGGGGCAAGCGUUGUUCGGAAUUACUGGGCGUAAAGGGCCAGUAGGCGGCCAACUAAGUCACUCGUGAAAUCCCCAGGCUUAACCUGGGAACUGCGUGUGAUACUGGAUGGCUUGAAUUCGGGAGAGGGAUGCAGAAUUCCAGGUGUAGCGGUGAAAUGCGUAGAUAUUCGCAAGAACACCAGUGGCGAAGGCGGCUCACUGGCCCGGUACUGACGCUGAGGUGCGAAAGCGUGGGGAGCAAACAGG